rnacentral:ncRNA from 2 species
GAUCCCUGACGAUCCUAUAGUGCCUUUGUACGCAGCGAUGACGAGGGGGAAUCCGGUGAGAUGCCGGAGCUAGCCCGUAACUGUAUGCGGUUUCACCCCAAGGGUGGAACGGCGAGCCAGGUUACCUUCUUCAGCCGCUAUUUUCGU